GUGAAUCAUCAAAUCUUUGAACGCAAAUUGCACUCUCUGGUAUUCCGGAGAGUAUGCCUGUUUGAGGGUCAGUAUAAAUAAAAAUCGGUGAGGUUGCUGCCUUUCGUGGUGACGCACCGGCUUUGGGUCGUCUUGCCUUCGGUUAAGUGACCUCAAAUCUCGCAUGAUUUUUUACGCACGUAUUUAAUUGUUUUUACGUACUUUUUCGAUAUCCAAUCCUAGUU
rnacentral:misc_RNA from 1 species